UACGUAGGGGGCGAGCGUUGUCCGGAUUUAUUGGGCGUAAAGAGCGUGUAGGCGGCCAGGUAGGUCAGCUGUGAAAACUCGAGGCUCAACCUCGAGAUGUCGGCUGAAACCAUCUGGCUAGAGUCCGGAAGAGGAGAAUGGAAUUCCCGGUGUAGCGGUGAAAUGCGCAGAUAUCGGGAAGAACACCCGUGGCGAAGGCGGUUCUCUGGGACGGUACUGACGCUGAGGCGCGAAAGCGUGGGGAGCGAACAGG
rnacentral:rRNA from 1 species